AAGACUAAAUCCCCCAGCUUACCGCACCUUUCAUUCAGUACUCAGUACAUCGGGAGAAACAAAUGUAACAAAUGACUUGCAGAGAGUUCAGUACAUACAUCGGGAGAAACAAAUGUAACAAAUGACUUGCAGAGAGUUCAGUACAUCCGGGUAAAACAAGAUGGUAACAGUCCAAGAACAAUGAGGAACUGAGUAGAUGUUUAUUCCUCCCAGGAUGUUUUCAGCUCCCAGGAUGUUUCUUGUCCUGGAGAAUCGCAGCAUCACCGGAUCAUUGAGGUCUCAGUUGUGACCAGAGGCCAAAAUGGAGUUAUGUCUCGGAAUUCCAUAGCUGGGCUGUAGCUUCUUGGUUGGCCUGGCAGGAUGGAAAAGUCCAGCCUUCCUUGAAUGAGAGUCGGGAAGGACAAUGGAGUUGGCUGUUGCGAAUGAUAUUACCAUCACUGAAAAAAAUCCUUGACCGUAGAAGAUAUGCCAUCCUCUCACCAGUUACCCAGCCAGAACCCAGGAGAAUUAACUUCUGUCCCAGUUCAAUAUGUGAAGGGUUCUUAACCCAACUCCCACUGUUGCCCACCC
rnacentral:lncRNA from 1 species